rnacentral:rRNA from 1 species
ACCUGCGGAAGGAUCAUUAUCGUACAACCGAGGCACAAGGGCUGUCGCUGACUUUUUCGUCGUGCACGCCCAAGUGCUCUCAAACAUCCAUCUCACCCCUAUGUGCACCACCGCGUGGGUCCCCCUUUGGCUUGUCCUCAGGGCGGCUUGCGUUUUCACACAAACUCGAUACAGUGUAGAAUGUCUUUAUUUUGCGGUAACACGCAAUUAAUACAACUUUCAACAACGGAUCUCUUGGCUCUCGCAUCGAUGAAGAACGCAGCGAAAUGCGAUACGUAAUGUGAAUUGCAGAAUUCAGUGAAUCAUCGAAUCUUUGAACGCACCUUGCGCCCCUUGGCAUUCCGAGGGGCACACCCGUUUGAGUGUCGUGAAAUUCUCAAAAACCCUUUUCUUUUUUGAAAGGAUUUUUGGACUUGGAGGCUUUUUGCUGGUUUCACAUCGAAGCGAGCUCCUCCUAAAUGGAUUAGUGGGGUCUGCUUUGCCGAUCCUUGACGUGAUAAGAUGCUUCUACGUCUUGGGUUUGGCACUGUCCAUCGGGCACCUGCUUCUAACCGUCUCAUCGACAAUGAUGGCGCUCCGGUCACCACUGUUUCAUCGGUGGGAGGCUUGACCCA